rnacentral:rRNA from 1 species
GACGAACGCUGGCGGCGUGCCUAAUACAUGCAAGUCGAACGAACUCUGGUAUUGAUUGGUGCUUGCAUCAUGAUUUACAUUUGAGUGAGUGGCGAACUGGUGAGUAACACGUGGGAAACCUGCCCAGAAGCGGGGGAUAACACCUGGAAACAGAUGCUAAUACCGCAUAACAACUUGGACCGCAUGGUCCGAGUUUGAAAGAUGGCUUCGGCUAUCACUUUUGGAUGGUCCCGCGGCGUAUUAGCUAGAUGGUGGGGUGACGGCUCACCAUGGCAAUGAUACGUAGCCGACCUGAGAGGGUAAUCGGCCACAUUGGGACUGAGACACGGCCCAAACUCCUACGGGAGGCAGCAGUAGGGAAUCUUCCACAAUGGACGAAAGUCUGAUGGAGCAACGCCGCGUGAGUGAAGAAGGGUUUCGGCUCGUAAAACUCUGUUGUUAAAGAAGAACAUAUCUGAGAGUAACUGUUCAGGUGUUGACGGUAUUUAACCAGAAAGCCACGGCUAACUACGUGCCAGCAGCCGCGGUAAUACGUAGGUGGCAAGCGUUGUCCGGAUUUAUUGGGCGUAAAGCGAGCGCAGGCGGUUUUUUAAGUCUGAUGUGAAAGCCUUCGGCUCAACCGAAGAAGUGCAUCGGAAACUGGGAAACUUGAGUGCAGAAGAGGACAGUGGAACUCCAUGUGUAGCGGUGAAAUGCGUAGAUAUAUGGAAGAACACCAGUGGCGAAGGCGGCUGUCUGGUCUGUAACUGACGCUGAGGCUCGAAAGUAUGGGUAGCAAACAGGAUUAGAUACCCUGGUAGUCCAUACCGUAAACGAUGAAUGCUAAGUGUUGGAGGGUUCCCGCCCUUCAGUGCUGCAGCUAACGCAUUAAGCAUUCCGCCUGGGGAGUACGGCCGCAAGGCUGAACCUCAAAGGAAUUGACGGGGGCCCGCACAAGCGGUGGAGCAUGUGGUUUAAUUCGAAGCUACGCGAAGAACCUUACCAGGUCUUGACAUACUAUGCAAAUCUAAGAGAUUAGACGUUCCCUUCGGGGACAUGGAUACAGGUGGUGCAUGGUUGUCGUCAGCUCGUGUCGUGAGAUGUUGGGUUAAGUCCCGCAACGAGCGCAACCCUUAUUAUCAGUUGCCAGCAUUAAGUUGGGCACUCUGGUGAGACUGCCGGUGACAAACCGGAGGAAGGUGGGGAUGACGUCAAAUCAUCAUGCCCCUUAUGACCUGGGCUACACACGUGCUACAAUGGAUGGUACAACGAGUUGCGAACUCGCGAGAGUAAGCUAAUCUCUUAAAGCCAUUCUCAGUUCGGAUUGUAGGCUGCAACUCGCCUACAUGAAGUCGGAAUCGCUAGUAAUCGCGGAUCAGCAUGCCGCGGUGAAUACGUUCCCGGGCCUUGUACACACCGCCCGUCACACCAUGAGAGUUUGUAACACCCAAAGUCGGUGGGGUAACCUUUUAGGAACCAGCCGCCUAAGGUGGGACAGAUGAUUAGGGUA